rnacentral:lncRNA from 1 species
GCUGCCUGCCAGAGCAAAGUCUGCCUUGGAUGCGACAUGGACGACAUGUUCGCGGCAGCUUUCUCCGGGGACCGGACGCCAUACAGCCCUGCACAGUUCCUCUACAGGCGAGUGAAAGAGCUCUUUUCUUCUUUUUCUUUCCCCUCUCAUGAAAAGUACCUCUUUCUUUUUUCUUUCUUGAACAGCUGGUGGCAACACGCUGCAAAUCUGGCAGGCUACGAGCAGCAGGACGCGCACGAUUUCUUUAUCUCGGCAGUGGAAGGCAUCCACGCCAACUCGCAGCAGCCUGAACUUCGCAAGUAAGCAAAGCUUUGCCAUAAACAAAGAUAGAAACUCACUCACCUUUGAUUGAUUCUUACGCACAGGGGGAACGACGCCGAGUGCCGCUGCAUUGUCCAUCGGGUCUUCUCCGGCUUGCUGCGAUCGGACGUAACUUGCAC